GAUGAACGCUAGCGGCAGGCCUAAUACAUGCAAGUCGAACGGGAUUAAGAGGCUUGCUUCUUAUGAGAGUGGCGCACGGGUGCGUAACACGUAUGCAACCUACCUUCAACAGGGGGAUAGCCUUCCGAAAGGGAGAUUAAUACCGCAUAACAUAAUUGAACGGCAUCGUUUGAUUAUCAAACUCACAAGGGUUGAAGAUGGGCAUGCGUCCGAUUAGUUAGUUGGUGAGGUAACGGCUCACCAAGGCAUCGAUCGGUAGGGGAUCUGAGAGGAUGACCCCCCACACUGGUACUGAGACACGGACCAGACUCCUACGGGAGGCAGCAGUAAGGAAUAUUGGUCAAUGGACGCAAGUCUGAACCAGCCAUGCCGCGUGCAGGAAGACGGUCCUCUGGAUUGUAAACUGCUUUUGUUAGGGAAGAAACCCUCGGAUGCGUUCGAGGCUGACGGUACCUAAAGAAUAAGGAUCGGCUAACUCCGUGCCAGCCGCCGCCGUAAAAC
rnacentral:rRNA from 1 species